CCCCUGAGGAGUUAAGCUCAGAUGGUGUUGCAGGAAUUGUGCCUUGGAUCCAUCACAGUUGGUUAAAACCAGAAAUCCAGGACAAGUGGACCAGCCAGCAGAACCCAGACCAUCCAAGCCGGCUGAUCCUGCGACGGGAGCCAGUUGCCACUGAGGACAACAGCCCUGCUCUGGUCAGUCCGGAAGCUGACCAGUCUACACAUGGCUGAAGCUUGAGGAGGCAACAGCCCUGCUCUAGUCACCCCAGAAGCUGACUAGUCUACGCAUGGCUGAAGCUGGAGUAAAGUAAUGUGGUUGGAAAUCUUAAGUCCAAUAGCCUUCCUGAUAAUACUAAUUGUUUUACUAUUUAUUCUGUCGCUUUGCUCAGCCUCCUCCCCCGGGUAAAGACUCCUUUUGUCCCUGCUGGGUAUAAAGAUGCUACUCUUUACUUUGUUCCUACUCCUCCCCAUUAGGGCACUCCCUUUACCUGUGUCUGGGGAUGGGCCCAUAGAAAGGUGCCCCCACUGCACUCACACCACGUAGUCGGAGAGCACAGUAACUAGAACCCUGUUAUAUCACACUUACUAUGAAUGUACAGGGACCCACCAAGGUACCUGUAUUCACAAUCAGAUGACCUACUCAGUCUGUGACCUGGGAAACGACCAGCCUUAUAUAUGUUAUGACCCUAAGUCCUCACCUUAUGAGUCCAUUUGGUUUAAAGUCUAUGUCAGGCUAAAAGAAGAGAACUUCCUAACCCUAACCAAAAAGAUCCCUCCCUCCUACAAGGGGCCUAUUUCCUCGUAUUUUGAUGCCUGCCAAGCUGCAUACGUCAGCAACUCUUAUCCUGUAGUCUCUUGUGACAGCCUGUCAUGGGAAAGAUACUAUAGUAACUGUCACAAGUAUAUAUGGACACCAAGGAGAGGAACCUCUCAAGAGAAGACCCCUCUUUGCUCCCCCAGGUCUCCAGAAAUAGACUGUUAGGCCUGUACAACAUGGUCCACUGACCCUGUGGAAAGUCACGAAUGAACACAGGGGACAGUCAGGCUUACCAAAAUGCCAGCGAAACCAUAAUAUAAGAUAAGAACCUGCAGUCCUUUAAAUUUUACCAUCCUGGAGCCAAAUCUGCCCAUAUGGACUACAG
rnacentral:lncRNA from 1 species